GACGAACGCUGGCGGCGCGCUUAACACAUGCAAGUCGAGCGAUAACCAUGGCUUCGGCCAUGGGGAGAGCGGCGAACGGGUGAGUAACACGUGAGCGAUCUGCCCUCGACACCGGGAUAGCCCGGGGAAACCCGGAUUAAUACCGGAUGGCCUCUCGAGCCCACGGGCUCGUUAGAAAAGAUGGCUUCGGCUUUCGGUCGAGGAGGAGCUUGCGGCGGAUUAGCUUGUUGGUGGGGUAACGGCUCACCAAGGCGACGAUCCGUAGCUGGUCUGAGAGGACGAUCAGCCCCACUGGGACUGAGACACGGCCCCGACUCCUACGGGAGGCAGCAGUGGGGAAUCUUGCGCAAUGGGCGAAAGCCUGACGCAGCGACGCCGCGUGAGGGAAGAAGGCCUUCGGGUUGUAAACCUCUUUCAGGAGGGACGAAGCCACUCGGGUUAAUACCCCAGAGGGUGACGGUACCUCCAGAAGAAGCCCCGGCUAACUACGUGCCAGCAGCCGCAGUAAUAC
rnacentral:rRNA from 1 species